GAUGAACGCUGGCUACAGGCUUAACACAUGCAAGUCGAGGGGAAACGACGGGGAAGCUUGCUUCCCCGGGCGUCGACCGGCGCACGGGUGAGUAACGCGUAUCCAACCUGCCUCUGACUGAGGGUUAACCCGUCGAAAGUCGGCCUAAUACCUCAUGGCAUCGUCUGCGGGCAUCCAACGACGAUUAAAGAUUUCAUCGGUCAGGGAUGGGGAUGCGUCUGAUUAGCUUGUUGGCGGGGUAACGGCCCACCAAGGCUACGAUCAGUAGGGGUGCUGAGAGGAAGGUCCCCCACAUUGGAACUGAGACACGGUCCAAACUCCUACGGGAGGCAGCAGUGAGGAAUAGUGGUCAAGGGGCGGGAGCCUGAGCCAGCCAAGUGGCGUGCAGGAUGACGGCCCUAUGGGUUGUAAACUGCUUUUAUGCGGGGAUAAAGUGAGGGACGUGUCCUUCAUUGCAGGUACCGCAUGAAUAAGGACCGGCUAAUUCCGUG
rnacentral:rRNA from 1 species